rnacentral:rRNA from 1 species
UACGUAGGGUGCGAGCGUUGUCCGGAAUUAUUGGGCGUAAAGAGCUCGUAGGCGGUUCAUUGCGUCGACUGUGAAAUCCCAAGGCUCAACCUUGGGUCUGCAGUCGAUACGGGUGGACUAGAGUUCGGUAGGGGAGACUGGAAUUUCUGGUGUAGCGGUGGAAUGCGCAGAUAUCAGAAGGAACACCGGUGGCGAAGGCGAGUCUCUGGGCCGAUACUGACGCUGAGGAGCGAAAGCGUGGGGGAGCAAACAGG